rnacentral:rRNA from 1 species
CGUAGGUGGCAAGCGUUGUCCGGAUUUAUGGGUUUAAAGGGUGCGUAGGCGGUCUAUUAAGUCAGUGCUGAAAUACUCCAGCUUAACUGGAGGGGUGGCAUUGAUACUGAUGGACUUGAGUACAGAUGAGGUAGGCGGAAUUGACGGUGUAGCGGUGAAAUGCAUAGAUAUCGUCAAGAACACCGAUAGCGAAGGCAGCUUACUGGGCUGUAACUGACGCUGAUGCACGAAAGUGUGGGGAUCAAACAGGAUUAGAUACCCUGGUAGUCCACACUGUAAACGUUGAUUACUCGCUGUUUGCGAUACACAGCAAGCGGCUUAGCGAAAGCGAUAAGUAAUCCACCUGGGGAGUACGCCGGCAACGGUG